CCUACGUGUGGCAGCAGUGAGGAAUAUUGGUCAAUGGGCGGGAGCCUGAACCAGCCAAGCCGCGUGAGGGAAGACGGUACAGCGUAUCGUAAACCUCUUUUGUCAGGGGACAAAGGCGGGGACUCGUCCCCGGCUGAGGGUACCUGAAGAAAAAGCAUCGGCUAACUCCGUGCCAGCAGCCGCGGUAAUACGGAGGAUGCGAGCGUUAUCCGGAUUUAUUGGGUUUAAGGGGUGCGACGGCGGCCUGUUAAGUCAGCGGGAAAAGCCCGGGGCUCAACCCCGGCGAGCCUUUGAAACUGGUGGGCUGGAGAUGGAGAGAAGUACGCGGAAUGCGCGGUGUAGCGGUGAAAUGCUUAGAUAUCGCGCAGAACACCGAUUGCGAAGGCAGCGUACCGACUCCACACUGACGCUGAGGCACGAAAGCGUGGGUAGCGAACAGGAUUAGAUACCCGGGUAGUC
rnacentral:rRNA from 1 species